AGACGACAAGGUAGAUAGGUUGGAGGUGGAAGAGCGGCAACGCUUGCAGCUGACCAAUACUAAUAGGUCGAGGGCUUGACCAGAA
rnacentral:rRNA from 1 species